UAUGCGUCACGACUGGGUAUUUUCUCCGGCGACAAGCUUACAUAGGUCUCUUAACAUAGGCUAUGUGCUAUCAGUGUGUGAAUUCUGAUUGAUGGGACUUUCGCCUACUGUUUGACUUAAUUCGUGACCUCAAAGAAUGGACAACAGGAAUUUGACAAGAGGAAUGCUCCGAAUGAAGGGAGACAUGGAACAGGGGUGUUGAUGAAAGCAAGGUCAACGAUGGGCUAAGUGGGAGGCUAAUCUCCUACUUCCGGUGUGAAGGUGGUACAUGACACCAGGAUUAACGCAGCGGAGUUGCUCAGUACAGAAGGGGAACCUUAUCACUGCCCACUGAAUGGAGAGGAUGAGGAUGGCCCAACCUUCCCGGAGGAGCCAUUGGCAGAUCCAGAUCUUAACAUUUUUGUUGAUGGGCCACACAUGUGCAAUGACAGGAAACCAUUCACUGCCUGGGCAAUGGUAAUCAAAGAUCCAGAACUAGCCUCCUGAUGGGUGGAGCUAGCGGCAAGAAAAUGUGAAAAGAAAAGGAAAAAGGAGAAAAAUAAGGGAUUGGAAAGUGCCACACUGUGGAAACCUGGUGUGGUGAAUAAUUUCAGUAGAUGGGUGUACCUGGGUCCCACUGGUUUCUGCCAAUUCUGAGCUGAUGGCACUGUUGGACAUCUUCCGAUUAUGAAGGGAAGUAAGCAUGAUGUGUCUGUCAUCUGCUGCACUAAGUUUCCUUGGCCGACCACUGCUUCUACGGUCCUCAACGUUGCCCGUUUCUUUGUGCUUCUUCAACAGAGCUUGGACAGCACAUCUGGAAACUCCCGUCUGCCUUGAAAUUUCUGCCUAGGAGAGACCUUGCUGAUGCAGUAUAACUACCUUGUGUCUUGUUGCUGUGCUCAGUCUUGCCAUGGUGUAUGACUUCUGACAUUAAACUGUCUUCAGCAACCUCA